GCUCUCUCAGAGCCAAGUUCAAAACCCUAGUUCUAACUUUUCUUGAGUUUUACACACUUUUCUUUUAAGAAUUUACUCUGUUUUUUCAACAAUGAAUUCUCUCGGAAAAACUCAUUUUGAGUUCUUGAAAACUACUUUUAUUGGUUUUUUCCUAUACAAAAGAUUUUUUGCAUAUACGAUGUUCUCUUUUUCUAGAUCUUCCGUUCUUUCUUUUAAUUUUCAUGAGUUUUCUCGGCAGCCAAACAACUGCUGUUAUAUGUUUUCUUCAUGAUAUCUCCGUCUUCUUUAGAUUUGGUUGUUUUUUCAUAUACGCUGCUCUCUUUUUCAAGGGAGAAAAAGCAUGCUCAUGUUCCACUGCUUGAGAUCGCUGACUACUCUGCUUUUUCAAAUGACGAAACGACAUCUGCGGUUGCUUUUCAUUAUAAUUGUGUUCUCGGCGUUCAUCACCUUGCAAGCUUCGGCUAUUACAGAUCCACGAGAUGGUAACUCCACUCUUUUUGUUCUUGAUUGUCUUAUCUUCUUUUGAUUUUAUUUAUUUAUUUAUUUUUAUUUUUUUGCUGUCUGAGAGAUUGAUUCUUGAUUGCUAAAAGAAAUAAUUUAACCAGGUUCAGCUUUUAUGGAUCAGGAAAAUGGUACUCGCAUAUUUAGUCUUGAUUUUUUUCUUGUCAUUUUUCUCUAGAAAAUUGACAUCAUCUGCACCAUAAGAUGAUUGCCAGUUAUUGUGGGGGCUUCGUUACAACCGUUUGACCUCCAAGAAAAUUUCUGGGAUCUGAAAAAGCAAGACAUCCACCUAAUUGAACCUAACGGAAAUAUUUCGCAGGUUGAGUUUAGUUUUUUAUUUAUCCAAAAACAAAAGUAACAUAGAUUACAUGGUUCAGAAUUCUAUUUUCUUUUCUUCUUUCUUUUCCUCGGUUUUCUUUGCCAGCAAUGGGUUAGCAAAGAUUCGUCUGUUCUUUUUAAUGGUUUGGUGGAAAAAAUAACAGAAUGGAUCUUGACUCCUAAUUAGUUAAUAUUUUGGGCAGCUAUACGGUA